UACGGGGGGGCAAGCGUUGUUCGGAAUUACUGGGCGUAAAGCGUGCGCAGGCGGCUUUGCAAGACAGAUGUGAAAUCCCCGGGCUUAACCUGGGAACUGCAUUUGUGACUGCAUGGCUGGAGUGCGGCAGAGGGGGAUGGAAUUCCGCGUGUAGCAGUGAAAUGCGUAGAUAUGCGGAGGAACACCGAUGGCGAAGGCAAUCCCCUGGGCCUGCACUGACGCUCAUGCACGAAAGCGUGGGGAGCAAACAGG
rnacentral:rRNA from 1 species